UUCCUGGAAUCCACUCAAGCUGUUGUGCUGAACUUUCACUCGACUGGUUUCCUUGCAGCGAUGCGUUUGGUGCAGAUUCGUUUCUCUCGUUCAGGUGAUUGGCAAACUCCUGCUCGGAAGGGCCAGAUUGUGGCAGGUAUUUCUCACCCAGUUAAUGUUACAUUGGAGACGUUAUGCUGUCCAAGAGAAUGGCAUGAAAACAGCGUGAAAAGGAAUAUCAGUGAAAUGUUAAGCAAGAAGCAAAAAGGAAAACUUUACAGCUACCUGCAUUCAGCUUUGGCUAAAUUCACAACUUUUCGUCGUAGAAGCAAUGAACAUUGACUAUAUGCAGAGAUUGUCACGGCUCAGGCUCCAAAGAUCUUCCUGCCCAUGGUGAUUGCCAUUGCAGCAGAGUCACAGCGUGGGGACCAGCAUGUGGGGCAGGUCAGGCAGCUUGUCACCCAGAGCCUGGGUGACCGUCCC